rfam:Microbacterium esteraromaticum strain B Mb 05.01 genome assembly, contig: Scaffold5
CUUCGCCGCUCUAUCACUACGGAUCGUCCGGCACGUACCUGCCGGUGAAGGAGAAAUGU